UACGUAGGGUGCGAGCGUUGUCCGGAAUUACUGGGCGUAAAGAGUUCGUAGGCGGUUUGUCGCGUCGACUGUGAAAACCCACAGCUCAACUGUGGGCUUGCAGUCGAUACGGGCAGGCUAGAGUUCGGUAGGGGAGACUGGAAUUCCUGGUGUAGCGGUGAAAUGCGCAGAUAUCAGGAGGAACACCGGUGGUGUAGACGGCUUUCUGGACCGUAACUGACGCUGAGACACGAAAGCGUGGGUAGCAAACAGG
rnacentral:rRNA from 1 species